UAUGCUGUAUCUGCAAAGAUGAUUCAUAUUGUGAAAAAAAAAGAAUACUUCCAAUAAGCGACAAUGUAUGCGUCAAAAGCAAGUGAUUAAGUCAGCAAAACAAUUUUAAAAAAUUGUCUUACAUAUUUUCUGUUCAUCUCAACUCACCUCAUCUCAGCGUGUACCGAAAGAGAAUUACCGGUGAUGUGUGCAAACUAGCGGAAAGAGAGAGAGAGAGCGCUUCACACAAGAAAAGUAAUUGUUCAUUUAUUUAAUGAGUUUUUGGUUGGUUUUAAAAGUUACAAGCUGUGGGUGUGGCAGUGAUGGAAGAAACAGUCUUUCUGUUAUAACACAACCAUUGUCACUGGGCAAAUGGGUGUCAGAUUGACAGUAGUUUUCCAGAGAAGCCAUCCUGAAGCAACUCGCCCAAUACCGCAUUAAUAACAACGACAAAAGAAAAAAAAUGUACUUUGAACUGUAAAAUUAAACAAUGUGUUCAGUUCAUGUUCAGCCUUGGCCUUGAUUCUGGAAGGAAUUGAUGCACUUUGUUCAUGUUUGACAUGGAAAUAUAACCAGGGUGUUUAAAAGUAAUGGAAUAAAGAUUCAAAAACUGAA